rnacentral:rRNA from 1 species
AUCUGCCCACUGAUUAAAUAUUAAAGGGCUGCAGUAUAUUGACUGUACAAAGGUAGCAUAAUCAUUAGUCAUUUAAUUGAUGACUUGUAUGAAAGAUUGGAUGAAAUAUAAACUGUCUCUUAUUUAAUUAUAAAAUUUAAUUUUUUUAUUAAAAAGUUAAAAUAUUUUAAAAAGACGAGAAGACCCUAUAGAGUUUUAUAAAUUAUUAAAUUGAGAUUAUAUGUAAAAUAAAUUUAAAAUUAAAUUAUUUAUUUUGUUGGGGUGAUAAAAAAAUAUAUUUAACUUUUUUUAAUUAUAAAACAUUUAUAAGUGGUUAAAUGAUCCAAUAAUAUUGAUUAUAAGAAAAAAUUACCUUAGGGAUAACAGCGUAAUUUUUUUUUUUAGUUCAAAUAAAAAAAAAAGUUUGCGACCUCGAUGUUGGAUUAAGAUAAAAUUUAAAUGUAGAAG